GAUGAACGCUCGCUACAGGCUUAACACAUGCAAGUCGAGGGGAAACGAUGAGAGAGCUUGCUCUCUUAGUCGUCGACCGGCGCACGGGUGAGUAACGCGUAUCCAACCUGCCUCUGACCAAGGGAUAACCCGUCGAAAGUCGGACUAAUACCUUAUGCAGUCGUCGGAAGUCAUCUGAUGACGACGAAAGAUUUCAUCGGUGAGAGAUGGGGAUGCGUCUGAUUAGCUUGUUGGCGGGGUAACGGCCCACCAAGGCGACGAUCAGUAGGGGUUCUGAGAGGAAGGUCCCCCACAUUGGAACUGAGACACGGUCCAAACUCCUACGGGAGGCAGCAGUGGGGAAUAUUGGUCAAUGGGCGUAAGCCUGAACCAGCCAAGUAGCGUGCAGGAUGACGGCCCUAUGGGUUGUAAACUGCUUUUAUGCGGGGAUAAAGUGAGGGACGUGUCCUUCAUUGCAGGUACCGCAUGAAUAAGGACCGGCUAAUUCCGUG
rnacentral:rRNA from 1 species